rnacentral:rRNA from 1 species
UACGAAGGGGGCUAGCGUUGCUCGGAAUCACUGGGCGUAAAGCGCACGUAGGCGGAUUGUUAAGUCAGGGGUGAAAUCCUGGAGCUCAACUCCAGAACUGCCUUUGAUACUGGCGAUCUCGAGUCCGGGAGAGGUGAGUGGAACUGCGAGUGUAGAGGUGAAAUUCGUAGAUAUUCGCAAGAACACCAGUGGCGAAGGCGGCUCACUGGCCCGGUACUGACGCUGAGGUGCGAAAGCGUGGGGAGCAGA